rnacentral:rRNA from 11 species
ACGGCGGCUGUCAGCAAUUGGUCCUAAGGUAGCAAAAUUCCUUGACAGGUAAAUUCCGUCCAGCAUGUGCGGUGUAACGACUU